GUGAACUUUAGAAUCAGAAGACUGAUGUAACAAUAGAAGAUGAUAGGAUUUCAGUGGCUAAUUGUUCAUCCUUCUGUGCACUGGAAAGUGUCCUGAGACAAGAGCCACCAAAAGUCGUAUUUCUCAAGUUCAGUCCAUCGGCUGGCCUCCUGAUCAAUAUCAUGUUAGCACCCAGUGACCGACUUACUGAAUGCAUGAUUAAUGAGUGAAUGCACCGUUUGCAAGGCCACUGAGUUAAAGAAUUUGAGAAGAAAGUGACUGCCACAUAUGAAUAUCUUGAUUCCUUAUUUUGCCUAUGUAAGUAUCAAAGAUGAGUUAUUUCAUAUAUUUAUUUCC
rnacentral:lncRNA from 1 species